rnacentral:rRNA from 1 species
GUGCAUGGUUGUCGUCAGCUCGUGUCGUGAGAUGUUGGGUUAAGUCCCGCAACGAGCGCAACCCUUAUCCUUAGUAGCCAGCAUGUAGAGGUGGGCACUCUAGGGAGACUGCCAGGGAUAACCUGGAGGAAGGCGGGGAUGACGUCAAAUCAUCAUGCCCCUUAUGAUUUGGGCUACACACGUGCUACAAUGGCGUAAACAAAGGGAGGCGAAGGAGCGAUCCGGAGCGAACCCCAAAAAUAACGUCUCAGUUCGGAUUGUAGUCUGCAACCCGACUACAUGAAGCUGGAAUCGCUAGUAAUCGCGGAUCAGAAUGCCGCGGUGAAUACGUUCCCGGGUCUUGUACACACCGCCCGUCACACCAUGGGAGUCGAUAACGCCCGAAGUCAGUGACCCAACCGAGAGGAGGGAGCUGCCGAAGGCGGGAUUGAUAACUGGGGUGAAGUCGUAACAAGGUAGCCGUAUCGGAAGGUGCGGCUGGAUCACCUC